rnacentral:rRNA from 1 species
UACGUAGGGUGCGAGCGUUAAUCGGAAUUACUGGGCGUAAAGCGUGCGCAGGCGGUUCGUUAAGUCAGAUGUGAAAGCCCCGGGCUCAACCUGGGAACUGCAUUUGAAACUGGCGGGCUUGAGUAUGGCAGAGGGGGGUGGAAUUCCGCGUGUAGCAGUGAAAUGCGUAGAGAUGUGGAGGAACACCGAUGGCGAAGGCAGCCUCCUGGGCCAGCACUGACGCUCAUGCACGGAAGCGUGGGGAGCAAACAGG